UUGCUCCAAUAUAUUGCACUAAGAUAAAUCUUGAAAGAAUAUUGGGAAAAUAUAUUUGAUAUAAAUCUCCAUCUAUCAUUAAUUGUGUUGAGCCAACUUAUUUACAGCUCAGUACGCUGAUUAUCAAUUGAAGGAUUAUUUUUUUCCAAUAUUAGGGGGAGAUAAUAAGCAGCUGGAAAUGUGAACCUGAAGUUCAAAUAAAUAUUAUUGUCUCAUCUUGAUCCUCAAGAUAUAACUCAUUUGCAAAGUCAAACAAAUUAAAUAUCAGCUACUAAUGCUCCAUGCAAAUGAGUCUCAAUCGUGCCUGAAGCAUGGUAGAUCAAUCGGUUCCAAAUAUAAAAAGCAUCGAAUAAGAAAAGAAGCUUAAAGGAAUGAUAACUCAAACGAGGAUAUAGAAACUCUAAAAGAGUUUUCUGACAUAAUUGAUUUUUUUUAUGUUCCAGAAGAACUUAUCAGGUACCUGAAAUGUAUGAAAAAGAAAGAGAUAUCGAUAAAUUAUGUCAUGAAUUGAUGAGAUGGAACCGAAAUAAAGUC
rnacentral:lncRNA from 1 species